UUGAACGCUGGCGGAAUGCUUUACACAUGCAAGUCGAGCGGCAGCGCGGGGGCAACCCUGGCGGCGAGCGGCGAACGGGUGAGUAACACAUCGGAACGUACCCAGUUGUGGGGGAUAGCCCGGCGAAAGCCGGAUUAAUACCGCAUACGACCUGAGGGUGAAAGGGGGGGAUCGCAAGACCUCUCGCAGUUGGAGCGGCCGAUGGCGGAUUAGCUAGUUGGUGGGGUAAAGGCCUACCAAGGCGACGAUCCGUAGCUGGUCUGAGAGGACGACCAGCCAAACUGGAACUGAGACACGGGCCAGACUCCUACGGGAGGCAGCAGUGGGGAAUUUUGGACAAUGGGGGCAACCCUGAUCCAGCCAGUCCGCGUGAGUGAAGAAGG
rnacentral:rRNA from 1 species